GGGUGUGUAGCUCAGUGGUAGAGCGGCUGACUGCAGAUCAGCAGGUCCUUAGCUUCCGAUGGUAACCUCCGAUCCGGCCGAACCCU